GACGAACGCUGGCGGCGUGCUUAACACAUGCAAGUCGAGCGGUAAGGCCCUCUCGGGGGUACACGAGCGGCGAACGGGUGAGUAACACGUGGGUGACCUGCCUUUAGCUCUGGGAUAAGCCUGGGAAACUGGGUCUAAUACCGGAUAUGACUCCGCGGUGCAUGCUGUGGGGUGGAAAGCCUUGUGCGGCUGGAGAUGGGCCCGCGGCCUAUCAGCUUGUUGGUGGGGUGANGGCCUACCAAGGCGACGACGGGUAGCCGGCCUGAGAGGGCGACCGGCCACACUGGGACUGAGACACGGCCCAGACUCCUACGGGAGGCAGCAGUGGGGAAUCUUGCGCAAUGGGCGAAAGCCUGACGCAGCGACGCCGCGUGAGGGAUGACGGCC
rnacentral:rRNA from 1 species